rnacentral:pre_miRNA from 1 species
GGAAACUUGAAAACUACCGUUGGAUUUAAAAAUGGACGUUCGAGAUUCGUCCACGUCACCAUGAGUUAAAAUUUUACUCUGAGUGAAUCUGUGAGUAAAAUUUUUACUCGUGAUGAUAUGAACGAAUAUCGGACGUCUAUUUUUCGAUCCAACGGUAGUUUCAUGUUUCC